CCUACGGGAGGCAGCAGUGAGGAAUAUUGGUCAAUGGCCGAGAGUCUGAACCAGCCAAGUCGCGUGAAGGAUGACGGCCCUACGGGUUGUAAACUUCUUUUGUACAGGAAUAAAGUUAGGCACGUGUCCCUUGUUGAAUGUACUUUAUGAAUAAGGAUCGGCUAACUCCGUGCCAGCAGCCGCGGUAAUACGGAGGAUCCGAGCGUUAUCCGGAUUUAUUGGGUUUAAAGGGUGCGUAGGUGGGUUGUUAAGUUAGUGGUGAAAUGUCGGGGCGUAACCCUAAAACUGCCUCUAAUACUGGUAGUCUAGAGAAUAGUUGAGGUAGGCGGAAUGCGUGGUGUAGCGGUGAAAUGCUUAGAGAUCAUACAGAACACCGAUUGCGAAGGCAGCUUACCAAACUAUAACUGACAUUGAGGCACGAAAGUGUGGGUAGCAAACAGGAUUAGAUACCCUGGUAGUC
rnacentral:rRNA from 1 species